UGCUGCCCGGUGGCAGAGAGCAGGUUGCGGAGUGUCCCCAGCUCUCUGGACAGCUGCUCCACGCGCUUCUGUAAGCGGUCGUUCUCUGCGGCCAGUUCAAGCACUUUGUGCUGCGUCUCCAUAUUACGCAUUUUGGCUUUAUCCCUGCUUUUCCUCACCGCAAGAUUGUUCCUCUCUCGCCUGAGUUUAUACUCUUCACUGUCCUUAUCGAGCCUUUUCUUUGAUUUCCCGCUGGACAUCUUCCCGUUGUGUGAGGGUGAUCUGCUGGUACCUGACGCGGCAGGUGUGCCCGGCGGGGUACCCGGGCGCGUACGCGGGUUCCCUGACGCUCCUCAGGUUCCCGCACUGACUGGACUCCAGCUCGUUCACGAAGGUGUAGUUCUUGAAAUUCUGGAACGCCGCCGCUCGCUUUAUUUUGCUUUCCGUGAGGAAAUCGGAGAACACGUCCCCCUGGUGAUGCGCGUCGCCGUACGCCGCCAGCUGUUGACAGUGCACUGCUGGGUCCAGGUACAUGCAGAAGUCUUUGGCCUUCUCGUGCUCCUCGAUGCCCUGCAGCUCCGUCAUGGAGUCGCAGGUCCUCCGAGGCCUGUACGGGCUGCUGCUGUGGCUGACGGGACUCACAGCACUGUGUCUGGCAUGGAAAGCAAAGCUGUCCUCGUCGUAUAAACCGGCCACUUCCAUGGAUCUUAACACCCUCCGGAUGACAGGAGCAUGGAGGGCAGGCGCCCGGAAUAGUUGGAAGGAGCUGGAACAAGCACUUGGAACAACACUUAAGUGAUGAUAGGGUCUGCCUCUUUGUUUUUUCGUGCAGCCUACUUCGUUUGACGACUUUAAAAUUGUCCGGAUGUUUUGGAAUAGAAAGUUGCUGCGGUAUUGAAAUAGUGUGUAUUGACAGCUCUCCCUGCCUAGACGACUUUAUAUAGUGAGGAUACGAGGGGGGGCGUCGCCCUUGUCGGCAAGGUGUGACGCAUCGAUAGUAAUCUAGGACAAACUCUCUCAUUUAUCUUGAGAGAUUGUGGUCUCAUCAUUCAUUGAAUGCGGAGAAGCGGUGUGUGUAUGUGUGCGUGUGGGUGCGGGUUGCACAACAGGAUGUUUUGAACUACAUGACUGUUGAACGUCAAAGUUGUGUUCAUGACUGUGGUCAAUACGAAAGUCUACGUGAAAGGUUUGUUUUUAAAUAUUGUACAGGGUCAUAUCGUGACUUCAGGUUAGCCCGUCAAAGGAAACGUUACAUUUUACACAGACGAUUACACAGUUGGAGAUUGGAGGUAAUGCUGAGAUGGGCAAUGCUGCCCUCUUGUGGCCUUGGGUCAUUCUGAUUUGUGGCCUUAAUACGGUGGAUGAUUUCAUUCCGAAUUAAAGUUGAAUAGCUCACGAUAGAGUGGUCUCUCCCGAAGCCUAGUGUUUGACUAGGGACCAGAAACGUAGAAGUGCAGAAAAGGCUACAUGCUUAUUCAAAACAUAAAAUGCGAAAUGGUCUUUUGAAAACGAAAAGUUACACUUCAAUCCUGAAAAUGAAAUCUAUCGUUUAAGUUUGUUAAAUUUAAGUUGCUUUUUCCACUUUCAAUGUGUAAUGUUUUCUUUAUCGGACCUCCCUCAUCUUGACUGAACUACGGAGAUGGCUUCUUCUUCUGGGCUGAUUGAAUUAUAGGCCUGCUGAAUUAUGGGCCUACUGAAUUAUCCAAGAAUCUGUAGCAUGGACCAAUAGACCUAUAGAAUGGACAACGGAUUCCAAAAUGGCGCCCAUUCAUUCCUAUGAAAACUGCUCAAUGUCGCAGGGCAACAUCAAGGAGAGAUUUGUUGCCGAAUCAUGGGAGCCUAGCCACGCCGUAGUUCAUGUCGUACCGGAUGCAGAAAUAUUCUUGUUUUCUAGCAUCGUUAGCAUUGUAGCAUCAUAAGCGAGAGAGGUCUGAGCGAUCACAGUCCCAUUGUUUACCGACCAUGGAAGCAAGUUAACUUCAUAAAUAUGAACGUUUGCUCCAUAUAACACCAACAACAUAGUAAAUGUAUGUAGGCCUAGGCCUAGAAAUAUAGUUCAAUGUUAUUGCUUAAGAAACAGAUUCCUUCCAACCAGUGGUGUAGUCUAUUUUAUUGUAGUGGGUAUACUGUGAUGAUUCCCUCCCAGCCUCGUACAAACCCGUCCGACCGGUACGUCGGUGUACGUGUGUGGCGCUUAUGGGGUGUCGCACCACACUCACCAACGCAGGGGUCUACAACCCGCUGAUUUAAGAGUAUAACGAUUAUCAACAAUCAUGGAAAGAACCAGUUUUAAUAACAGUAUGAACAAAUAGAACACAAAAAUUACAAGUUGUCCUUUGUAUAUCUAUAGUAGCAAUAGCACAUGCUAAACAAGGACAAAAUCUACUCAAAAUAAUUGAAUGAACUGUUUACAUCCAUGGCUAACCAGUGCAUGAGAAGGAGAUGACAGGAGACUAAUGUUUCACUCUUUCAAUUGCUCUAAUUUGAGCUCUUACUGUUGUUAUCUAACAUACCAUACAGUAAUUGAAUUGUGUAAAAGUGUGAAAUUACUGCACCUUAAAAAUGACCAUGAAUUAGCUAUACUCUCAUUUGCAUAGUGAUUAACAUUAUGAAUUUCAAUUGUGUAUACCAACUGUAUGUGGGCUGACAUUUACCUAUAACUUUUUUUCCCUCCACUCUAACCAAGGAUGCCUGUUUUUAAAUUCCCUAGCCUGACACCCAGUCUGAAAGGCUGGCCAGGGGUUCUCAUCUAAAAGUAACAAAGAGAUAUAAAGUGGGAAUAAAACAUUGUCUUCUGUUGACUACUUAUUAUGUGGUUUACACAUUAAUACGGGAGGACUGGACACACACACACACAUGCACACACAUGCACACACACGCACACACACGCGAGAAGGAGGGGCUAGGCCCGCCAACUAACGUGCAGAGACGCAGGGGCAGCUUCGCGCUUCGUAACAGAGACAGGGCAGAGCGCGAGCGCGCAGCGGGAAUUUUAUGAAUGGUGAAUGUAGGAGAUAACUUCCCCUGCUUUAAGUAUUUUAUUGCAGUUACACCCAACCGAUAUUUCCGAAAAAUAAACACAGAAGUGAAAGAUCUGUCAGAUUGAUACGUAUCCGUGCACAUUUUUAAGUGGGUAUGGGGCGAUUCUAGGUAGUGUGGGGGCCCUAGGCAGAGGAUUGUUGAAGGGGGGGGGCGGGGGAGCGAUUGUUGACGACGGGGGGGGGGGGGGAAGCGAUUUUUUUUUGGCUCCAGGGGGCCCCCCCCGUGGCCGGGGCCCCCAAACAAUUGCGGGGCCCCAGGCAGUUGCCUGGUAUGCCUAAUGGGAUGCGGCGCCUCUGCAAAUCCUGGUGCGUUCCUAGUGGGUAUACGGCGUAUACCUGGCUGCGUAUCACGUAGACUACACCACUGCUUCCAACUAUUUACGAAAAAUCCAAUCAAUAAUUUAUAUACAAAUAAAUGGUUACAUAUCGAUCAGCAACAAGGUUGGAGUAGCCUACCCACAUAAAUAAUUGUAACACACCAACAUUGUUAACUGUCAUACACAGCUAAACAAGCAAAUGAAAAUUAAAUACUAACGCAACUUAAAUGCUUAUUAGGCUAUUAACAAUUUUAUAAAAUUGAUACCGUAAUGCACCCGUUCUAUGUCUUUGGAUCUUUUGAAUAAUUGGAUCAUUAAAUGGUGAAUUGCAAUGAUCGCAAGCAGAGUAACGUGAGAGUCAUUGAGCAGCAGCUGAACCAGUCUAAAAAUCCCUUUAACACUAAAACACUUUUAGUGAUAAAAAGUCACCACAGUGCCGAAAAACAAUCAACGUCAUUCAUGUUAAGUAAAAGGAAAAACCUCGGACACGAGAAGUUAACAGAGCCAUGCACUAGGCCCUCUCGUAUGCCGAGCCGAAACAACAUUUGUUGUUUCAUUUGUCACUAAGAGAAAACUAUUUUUUUUUAGUACAUGGCAUAAAGAUAAUUAUGAGCCUUUGAUUGAUAUCCAGACAUUUUUUGCGGAGACACAUUCCUGUUCCCCACUUGUAUUGGAGUGAACGGAGAUAUAUCUACUUCUGGGCCCCUUGAAUCGAGGGACCCGUCCACAGCCCGCUUAAACCGCUGCAAUACCAGGCUUGGCCGCUGAGCACUGGUGGUUUGCGGAAGUAUGCACUGUUCCUGGGGCCUUGCUUGAGCCGGAUCCACUUGGCAAAUCACCACUGCCCAACAUGCCCACCGGCCAAACACGCCCAGUGCUCUGCCAAACACGCCCAUUGCUCGUUGCUAUCUUAUAAUUGGUCCAUGGUUGCAAUGGUGGCCAUCAUGGGGGAAAACAAUGCACAGCGCUCCAUUCACUUUGUACAGAAUGCAAACAAAACGUAACAACAAUAGGCGCGCGCUCCAGGGACCUUGGGGCCCGAGGGCCCCUGUCCCGAUGGUCCCGCGGAUUGCUCAGCACAGCACAACAUUUGACCCAGAAGUUUGGAAUAGUAACCUUAAAAAUUAAUGGGAUUUUGAAGGAGCCUUAACUACGAGUUUGUAUGUCCACUGAAUUUGAAUGAAUGAAUUAAUAGGGCGGGACUGGGUGGCGGGAUUAUAUGACAUCUGUAGCGUUACGCACGGGCACGAGCUAUGGGCGUGUUUGGCAGAGCAAUGGGCGUGUUUGGGCGGUGGGCCUGUUUGGCAGUGGUGGUUUGCCAAGAGGGCCUACUGAAUUAUAGGCCUACUGAUUUAUGGGCCUACUGAUUUAUGGGCCUACUGAAUUAUAGGCCUACUGAAUUAUAGGCCUAAUAAAUUAUAGGCCUACUGAAUCCAACCAUACAGUCAUCCAGCCAACGGGAUGCCCAGCUCAUAUUGUGCACAUCGCUUCGAAAACCACACAUGUAUUAUGCACAUAUACAGAAUAUGUGUGCCUACAUAAAUGCAUGUGCAGAUAAAUAUUAUAAUGUGACGUUAAAAAGUGCCUCAUUAGCAGCACUAUGGUGAGCACUAUGGAAUGGUAUAUUUUAUAAUUAUAAUAUGGAUAUAAUGAACAUCUCGAUGAGGUCUGACCUCGGCUCGCUCCAAAAUACCUUUAUUGGAGAGAGAGGCAGAUGCAUGGGUUUCUGCCUCUUAUGACUUAUUACGAGUUGUGACUUAUUACGAAAGAGGGAUAUCAGUUUCUGUUACAUGUCUCGGUUAUGCUCUAUUUUCAAAGUUUUCGUCAAAAUCUAAAUCAAAUAUUUAUUUGCCAUGUCUUUAUAGUUUCUUGGGAUGUUCUUGUCAUUCCUGAUUUUUGACAGACCUACACGGCUCACAUGGAGCAAUAUACCGGAAAUUCCGUAGCCGUAGACCGGGAUAACGCUACAGCAAGGUACUGUCUCCGCCUACGUAAUGAAAUGCAGUCUUUUCAUGCACAACCCUAUUGGCUACGAACAACAGUUACAUAUCUUUUCCAACUCAACGAUUGGUUGAUGCCUUUAGCGAGCUGGAUGUUAUUGGUUAGGCUAUGGAUCUGUGGGCUGGGUGGCUUCACGAUUCUGUGGGUGCCGCCUUACUAUGAGGAGAGGUUGGGGCUUGGUCGAUCCGUAUGGUU
ensembl:lncRNA